GUUCGUGUUUACCAGUAAACAGUGAGUUUGGUUUGUGUUAGAAAUUUCAGGAAAAAACAAACAUAUAAAAAACAAACAUAUGAUGGUUAAAGAACAAAAUUCAGCCCAAUGUAAUGCCUUACCUAAUCUUUUAAAGUAAGUUUUCUGAUACUAAAAAUUGCAAAACAUUACAUGGACAGAACAUUAAGCGAGAAGAAACCCUCGGGUUCUUUCUAUUUUGAGUUUGACAUCCCUAGCCAUGAUCAACAAAAUGUUCAACAUUUUCAAUGAAAAGUUCUUCCCUUUCAACCAACAACCUGUAACAUACCUGACAUAAUAACAUUGUUGGCAAAUCAUAAUAGCCAAUAGCCUGUCACAUACCUGACGGAUAAUAACAUUGUUGGCAACUCGUAUAUCGGAAACAUAAAAAAUGCCAACCUGAAAGUACACUAAUGUUGUGAAUAAUUUGCACUGCUGGACCGAGCAUAAUAACAAUUAUGGAAACACAUCACAUAACAGAAACUAUAUCAGUGUAAAACUGGCAAAUGAAGUAAAGAAAUCUGAGUCAGUCUCUACAUGCCUUAAAGUAUGGGGCUUCCUGCUGUGGCCUUAGGACAAACUACUGCUGCAAAGGAAGAUACUUCCAUGACUGUGAAUUGUUGAGCUACCUGCCGUCCUUAUAUACGCAACGGCAUAUUUACUGUAUGUUUCACAUUCUACCUUGACCUUUUGCAGUGAUCUCGACUAGAAGAAUGACCUUAGGCAAUUCUAUUACAGAGAAUAAAAUAUCCUCUGGCUCUUUGA